UACGGAGGAUCCAAGCGUUAUCCGGAUUUAUUGGGUUUAAAGGGUGCGUAGGCGGCGUGAUAAGUCAGUGGUGAAAGUUUGCGGCUCAACCGUAAAAUUGCCAUUGAUACUGUCGUGCUUGAGUACAGAUGAGGUAGGCGGAAUGUGUCAUGUAGCGGUGAAAUGCAUAGAUAUGACACAGAACACCGAUUGCGAAGGCAGCUUACUAAAGUGUAACUGACGCUGAGGCACGAAAGCGUGGGGAUCAAACAGG
rnacentral:rRNA from 1 species